CUGAAAAUUUAAUGGGAUUAUUUAAAAAAAAAACAUUAACAUAAAAAGGUCUAAAUAAACAAAUAUUAAGAGGAAUGACUUUUUCGUAAAUUGAAUGUAAUUAUUGUGAAGUUAUUCAAUAGGUAUAGAAAGAAUAUGAGUAAAUUUUUUUACACUUCCUCUUACUAUCGUGCUUGCGAUGCACUUAUUAUAGCUUACACUUUAAUAGUGGAAACAAAUGAAUGAAGUAUAUGUUUCUGAUAUCUGCAAUGACUACGAAACUAAGCAAACUACAUUAACAAUGUACUAUGAUGAAUUUAUGACUAACACCAGAGUUCUAAACGAUAUUCAUUCGUUAUGUAACAGACAUUACUUAACCAGUGCUUAAUAUUUCAGCAGAUUCUUUAAAAAAUACUGAAAGGUUCACUUUUUCACCAAUUGGCACAAAUAUUAUUCUCUUGUGUUCUUAAUAAUCAGUUCUUUUUUUAAAAAAAGGCAUAUAUCUAUUGUAGAUUCAAUCAUUUUAAUGAUUACUGACAUUUAUCACAAAUUCCUAGACGACAAUCGAUAAUACAUAUCCCACAUCAAUAAUUACAUAGGUACUUGCCUCUAAUAAUAAACUCAGCUUGUAAAAAAAUACGUUUUUACAUUAGCACUUAAAGGGUAAGGCCCGUUCUUUGCUCACAAAAAGCAUGAAAAGUUUAUUAUUCAACACUUUAAUAAUUUACCUUUUAUAUAGCUGUGUAGUAACGUGGUACAAUUUUAAUUGCAUGGUUUUACACAUUUAAUAUUCUUCUCAGGAAAUAUUGCCAUUUUUCGUAUUAAUUUCAUUGCAUUAUUCCAUCGUUCGCACACAAAUACUUCAAUUUAGUUUAUAAAACGAUUUUGUUUAAAUUUUUCAUAUUUCAGUAUAUAUCGUAUUUCGAGUGAAAGGCUUAUUAUGCUUUUUAAGAGCAAAAUACUGGACUUAUCCUUUAUUGGACUCAUAUUUGAAUUAUAUACAAGUGAAAUUGAUUUUUCAAUUGGUUUUAAAUCAGAAUACUACGAUGAUAUUUGUAAAUGUGCCCUUCAAGUUAUUAUCCUUAUCAAUGUUUAGUUUUCUGAAAUAUUAAACAUCAUACGAAUAUAGAAAUAACGUAGACAUGAUCACAGUAAAAUAAUUAAUUAACAAAUUACAACUACAUGCAUAAAUAACACUUUGGUUCUGUAUUAAAAACAAAUUUUCGUCAGAAUGGCAAAUAUAUAUUAAUUGUGCGUUGUCAUACGAACUUAUUUAAAAAACACACCGCGGGUUUUUCAUUUAAGAAACCAAGAAAUGUGCAA